rnacentral:rRNA from 1 species
GACGAACGCUGGCGGCGUGCCUAAUACAUGCAAGUAGAACGCAGUUGGGAGCGUGUGAGUAACGCGUAGGUAACUGCCUGGUAGCGGGGGAUAACUAUUGGAACCGAUAGCUAAUACCGCAUACUACCAGAUGGACCUGCGUUGUAUUAGGUAGUUGGUGAGGUAACGGCUCACCAAGGCAACGGUACAUAGCCGACUUGGGGAGGGGAUCGGGCAAACUUGGACUUGGGAAAGGCCCAAAAUCCUACGGGGAGCAGCAGGUGGGAAUCUUCGGCAAUGGGGGGAACCCCGACCGAGCCAAGCCGCGGUAGUGAAGAAGGGUUUCGGAUCGUAAAGCGCUGUUUUUAAGGAAGCGGUACCUAACGAGAAAGCGACGGCUAACUACGUGCCAGCAGCCGCGGUAAUUC